UACGUAGGGGGCAAGCGUUGUCCGGAAUCACUGGGCGUAAAGCGCACGUAGGCGGAUUGUUAAGUCAGGGGUGAAAUCCUGGAGCUCAACUCCAGAACUGCCUUUGAUACUGGCGAUCUCGAGUCCGGGAGAGGUGAGUGGAACUGCGAGUGUAGAGGUGAAAUUCGUAGAUAUUCGCAAGAACACCAGUGGCGAAGGCGGCUCACUGGCCCGGUACUGACGCUGAGGUGCGAAAGCGUGGGAGCAAACAGGG
rnacentral:rRNA from 1 species